CCUACGGGUGGCAGCAGUCGAGAAUCAUUCACAAUGGGGGAAACCCUGAUGGUGCGACGCCGCGUGGGGGAAUGAAGGUCUUCGGAUUGUAAACCUCUGUCAUGUGGGAGCAAAUUAAAAAGAUAGUACCACAAGAGGAAGAGACGGCUAACUCUGUGCCAGCAGCAGCGGUAAUACAGAGGUGUCAAGCGUUGUUCGGAAUCACUGGGCGUAAAGCGUGCGUAGGCUGUUUCGUAAGUCGUGCGUGAAAGGCGCGGGCUCAACCCGCGGACGGCACAUGAUACUGCGAGACUAGAGUAGUGGAGGGGGAACCGGAAUGCUCGGUGUAGCAGUGAAAUGCGUAGAUAUCGAGAGGAACACUCGUGGCGAAGGCAGGUUCCUGGACAUGAACUGACGCUGAGGCACGAAGGCCAGGGGAGCGAAAGGGAUUAGAUACCCUGGUAGUC
rnacentral:rRNA from 1 species